GAUGAACGCUGGCGGCGUGCCUAAUACAUGCAAGUCGAGCGAACAGAUGAGGAGCUUGCUCCUCUGACGUUAGCGGCGGACGGGUGAGUAACACGUGGAUAACCUACCUAUAAGACUGGGAUAACUUCGGGAAACCGGAGCUAAUACCGGAUAAUAUAUUGAACCGCAUGGUUCAAUAGUGAAAGACGGUUUUGCUGUCACUUAUAGAUGGAUCCGCGCCGCAUUAGCUAGUUGGUAAGGUAACGGCUUACCAAGGCGACGAUGCGUAGCCGACCUGAGAGGGUGAUCGGCCACACUGGAACUGAGACACGGUCCAGACUCCUACGGGAGGCAGCAGUAGGGAAUCUUCCGCAAUGGGCGAAAGCCUGACGGAGCAACGCCGCGUGAGUGAUGAAGGACUUCGGAUCGUAAAACUCUGUUAUUAGGGAAGAACAAAUGUGUAAGUAACUAUGCACGUCUUGACGGUACCUAAUCAGAAAGCCACGGCUAACUACGUG
rnacentral:rRNA from 1 species